rnacentral:rRNA from 1 species
UACGUAGGGUGCAGGCGUUAAUCGGAAUCACUGGGCGUAAAGCGUGCGUAGGUGGCGUGUUAAGUGCAAUGCGAAAUCCUGUGGCUCAACCAUAUGGACUGUAUUGCAUACUGGCAUGCUAGAGGACGGCAGAGGCAAGUGGAAUUACCGGUGUAGCAGUGAAAUGCGUAGAGAUCGGUAGGAACACCAAUGGCGAAGGCAGCUUGCUGGGCCGACCCUGACGCUAAGGCACGAAAGCGUGGGGAGCGAACAGG